rnacentral:rRNA from 1 species
ACCCGCUGAACUUAAGCAUAUCAAUAAGCGGAGGAAAAGAAACCAACAGGGAUUGCCCUAGUAACGGCGAGUGAAGCGGCAACAGCUCAAAUUUGAAAUCUGGCUCUUUUAGAGUCCGAGUUGUAAUUUGCAGAGGGCGCUUUGGCUUUGGCAGCGGUCCAAGUUCCUUGGAACAGGACGUCACAGAGGGUGAGGAUCCCGUACGUGGUCGCUGGCUAUUGCCGUGUAAAGCCCCUUCGACGAGUCGAGUUGUUUGGGAAUGCAGCUCUAAAUGGGAGGUACAUUUCUUCUAAAGCUAAAUAUUGGCCAGAGACCGAUAGCGCACAAGUAGAGUGAUCGAAAGAUGAAAAGCACUUUGGAAAGAGAGUCAAACAGCACGUGAAAUUGUUGAAAGGGAAGCGCUUGCAGCCAGACUUGCUUACAGUUGCUCAUCCGGGCUUUUGCCCGGUGCACUCUUCUGUAGGCAGGCCAGCAUCAGUUUGGGCGGUAGGAUAAAGGUCUCUGUCACGUACCUCUCUUCGGGGAGGCCUUAUAGGGGAGACGACAUACUACCAGCCUGGACUGAGGUCCGCGCAUCUGCUAGGAUGCUGGCGUAAUGGCUGU